rnacentral:rRNA from 1 species
UACGUAGGGGGCGAGCGUUGCCCGGAUUCACUGGGCGUAAAGCGCGUGUAGGCGGUCUGUUAAGUCGGGUGUGAAAUCUCCGGGCCCAACCCGGAAAUUGCAUCCGAUACUGGCAGACUUGAGGACGGUAGAGGUUGGUGGAAUAGCCGGUGUACCGGUGAAAUGGGCAGAUAUCGGCUAGAACACCAGUGGCGAAGGCGGCCAACUGGGCCGUUCCUGACGCUGAGACGCGAAAGCCAGGGGAGCGAAC